UAGGCAUGGCUUGGUUUCUGCAGGUGCUUCUCUGUAAAGCUGGGCCCACUACAGCACAGAGAUGCAAGAGAACAUCUCUUGGUAAUCGGAACCGGCUCAUAAGCCACUCAUCAUCAUUGACCAGUAAAAUUCGCUCUCUCCGAAUUCUUUCAUUCGCCAAAUCUUCCAACAGUGCUAAAGCAGCCAUUGUGCGUCAUUACGCAUUGUAAUUGCAUGCCUUUUUAUACCCACCCAUUUGAUUGUCAAAGCUACCCAAUUGCGUAACACCUUCAGGUGUGGUAAUUACCCUGAUUGUAAUUGACAAUGACUGGGCCAAAAUCACAUAGACAGUUCUGCGCAACGAACAUGUGAUAACAAUAUAUGAAACUGUGCACUCGUAUCUGCCCGACAAAGGCAUCGAAAACGGCAUCAGUUUAGCGUUCAGCCAUAGCAGUACAGUGCCCUUAGAACAAAUGAUGUGCUUUGCUCAAGGACACAUCGGCAGAUCGUUCACUUUGUCGGCUCGGGUAUUCAAACCAGCAACUUUCGAUUGCUGGCCCAACGCUCUAACCGCUAGGCUACCUGCAGUCAUUAUCGCCAUGGGAACACAGCACGCCACAUGUCCAAUGUUCUUUUCCCUGGGGUGACGUGCUGUUGUUGUGUUGUUAAUGGACGGCCCAGAAAGCCUGGUUUUCAAUGUGGCUUUAAAGAACGGUAUAGAGGUACAGAGUAGCUUUGCAUCAAGCUUUCACAUUGGUGACUCACGCAUUCUCAUGAAAAGCUGCAGACAAUCCUUCUCUUCCAGGCUACACACCUAUAUACCUUUCAGAGAAUCUGCCCAACAAGCCUCCUACUCAAAACAGUUUUAUGUGCAUCGACCUCCUACUGUGACAGAAUACACACGGUAUCAUUUGGAUCUAGUACAAUGGACCUGUAGUGACCAAUGGCGUUCAUUGCAGGUACCUCCAUCGUUUAUAUAAAAGUGAGUUGUAAGACUACAGUACGUGGGGGAGAAGAAAAUGCCUGGGAUACUAUGGUGUCUAUUGUGUAUCAUCCUGUGAUUGUCUUGUGCAUAUAUAAGACAUUGAUUGUUUAUAUUAGGAGUAUGUGAGACAAGGGAGAUACACCUGUCCAGCGAUAUUUAGUAGGAAAUGGAACUGUACUAUUUUUCUCAAUUUAUGAAACAACAAUUUUGUCUGUCAUUGUUUGUUGCCACUACCAUUGCUGCCUAACCUUCCUGCACCCCCACGCCCCCCUUCCCCCUUCAAAAGGAUCACAACAGAAAUACGCUUUCAAGCUUCAUUGUGUUACCCUAGAUUAUUUUAUUAAAUUGUAUGUUGCGGUGCCAAUUAUUGAAUCUAAAUGAAAUAUAUGACUUCUUCUCAUGUAUUUUUCAUACAUCUACAUGAAAUAUGAUGUUUCCUGAUGUAU